rnacentral:lncRNA from 1 species
GCCUUAAAGAACCCUCUGGUGACAAAGUCAAUUGAAAGCAAGCUUCCUGAUGUACUGAAGAGUGGCUCCUAUAUGCAGCUGAGAAAAGCAGUGCUGAACCAGAGAAGCGUGUUGAAAGUCUUCUGGCCUUCGUCAAGAAAGCAUCUAUGAACAGCUGGACCAACUGAGGGAUGAAGAGUGGCCAAGGAAGGAAAUGCGACCUGAGCAAAGGCAAGCCAGAGCCUCAAACCAGUCAAGUAGCCAUCUUUCAGGGUGUUGUCAUCUGUGGGGACAUCAAGCAUAAAAAGAGGUUGUACUUCUGCAAAAAGUUCUGCGCACUCAAUCUCACAGAGGAAGGAUGCAGUGCGAAAACUAGGAGCCUGCUGGAAAUGUUUGGAUGUCUAUGAUGUGAAUCUCUGCAAAAUGAGUGUGAGGACAAGAGAGCCACAGACCAUCAUUACUAUCUGUGUCCCAAUGCUGAAGCAUCCAGCACUGCAUGAAAAGUGGGAUUUUCGUCAGAAACAGUACGCCGUCGUCACAACUCGGAGACAAAUUGUAGGUUCUACGAACUGGAGCAAGGACUAACCUCGUCUCAUAUUGAGGCCGUGACCUCCUAUUUGCUCGGCGCUAUGUCUGCAAGUCUAGAUUUACAGGAUGCUGAUAAUGACGACAUUGUGUCUGCCUGUAAGACCUAUUACGAGACAGUACGCAGGAGCUUCAGGUACAAACAACCAGACCUUGCACCGCAGGCGGAAGCUGAAGAGUUCAGCUCAGAGUUGAUCGAGAAGAAAGACGCUGCUGGAAGCGAGCCAGUGUGCUAUAUGAGGAAGAGGGGGAACUUUGGAAGUCCGCCACCAUAGACCUGAUGUCUGAAGAUGACGUCGUUGGCGGGUGUCUGGAUGGAUUGUGCGACUUCCGUCCUUUCGCAGCCAGGAGCUCACCGAGCUCUGUGCCACACUGCAGUCGAUUAGAGGCGACUCCGAAGUACAGGGCAACGCACCACAGACGUCUGCAAAAUGGGCCAAAUUCAGACAGAAUGCUGCCAGUUAACUACAGCUCCGAGGCGGCAAACAGCCACUUCACGGUGCUGUAGGAUUUUGGGCUUCUCGUGAGCUUCCAUUUGUUGUGUGGGCAGAUCUCACUUUGUACAUAGUUGUGUGUUUGUGCUAAUAAAGCUCUUUCUUUGAAUAAACAUGUUCCUGGCAAAUGUUCCUUUCCUCAAUAAAUUCAUUCAUG